GUGAGGAAUAUUGGUCAAUGGGCGGGAGCCUGAACCAGCCAAGUCGCGUGAAGGAAGAAGGAUCUAUGGUUCGUAAACUUCUUUUGCAGGGGAAUAAAGUGCAGGACGUGUCCUGUUUUGUAUGUACCCUGAGAAUAAGGAUCGGCUAACUCCGUGCCAGCAGCCGCGGUAAUACGGAGGAUCCGAGCGUUAUCCGGAUUUAUUGGGUUUAAAGGGUGCGUAGGUGGUUUGAUACGUCAGCGGUGAAAGUUUGCAGCUUAACUGUAAAAAUGCCGUUGAAACUGUCGGACUUGAGUGUAAAUGAGGUAGGCGGAAUGCGUGGUGUAGCGGUGAAAUGCAUAGAUAUCACGCAGAACUCCGAUUGCGAAGGCAGCUUACUAAGCUACAACUGACACUGAAGCACGAAAGCGUGGGGAUCAAACAGGAUUAGAAACCCGUGUAGUCC
rnacentral:rRNA from 1 species